GGCCCCAUCGUCUAAUGGUUAGGACAGCGCGCUUUCAAUGCGUAAAUCGGAGUUCGAUUCUCCGUGGGGCCG
rnacentral:tRNA from 1 species